GCCGCCGUAGCUCAGCGCUCUGGGAGAGCGGCCGGCUGAAGCGCAAGGUCUCAGAGACCGGCAGGUCCCGGGUUCAAGUCCCGGCGGCGGCA
rnacentral:tRNA from 1 species